rnacentral:rRNA from 1 species
GUGGGGAAUAUUGGACAAUGAGGGGAACCCUGAUCCAGCCAUGCCGCGUGUGUGAAGAAGGCCUUUUGGUUGUAAAGCACUUUAAGCGAGGAGGAGGCUACCGAGAUUAAUACUCUUGGAUAGUGGACGUUACUCGCAGAAUAAGCACCGGCUAACUCUGUGCCAGCAGCCGCGGUAAUACAGAGGGUGCAAGCGUUAAUCGGAUUUACUGGGCGUAAAGCGCGCGUAGGUGGCCAAUUAAGUCAAAUGUGAAAUCCCCGAGCUUAACUUGGGAAUUGCAUUCGAUACUGGUUGGCUAGAGUAUGGGAGAGGAUGGUAGAAUUCCAGGUGUAGCGGUGAAAUGCGUAGAGAUCUGGAGGAAUACCGAUGGCGAAGGCAGCCAUCUGGCCUAAUACUGACACUGAGGUGCGAAAGCAUGGGGAGCAAACAGGAUUAGAUACCCGGGUAGUCC